UACGAAGGGUGCUAGCGUUGUUCGGAAUCACUGGGCGUAAAGCGUGCGCAGGCGGCGUCUCAAGUCAGGGGUGAAAUCCUGGGGCUUAACCCCAGAAUUGCCUUUGAAACUAGGACGCUAGAGUCCCGGAGGGGUUUGGGGAAUUCCUAAUGUAGCGGUGAAAUGCGUAGAUAUUAGGAGGAACACCAGUGGCGAAGGCGCCAAACUGGACGGGUACUGACGCUCAUGCACGAAAGCGUGGGGAUCAAACAGG
rnacentral:rRNA from 1 species